UACGGGGGGAGCAAGCGUUGUUCGGAUUUACUGGGCGUAAAGGGCGCGUAGGCGGUCAGCACAGGUCAGUUGUGAAAUCUCCGAGCUUAACUCGGAAAGGUCAACUGAUACUGUGCGACUAGAGUGCAGAAGGGGCAACUGGAAUUCUCGGUGUAGCGGUGAAAUGCGUAGAUAUCGAGAGGAACACCUGCGGCGAAGGCGGGUUGCUGGGCUGACACUGACGCUGAGGCGCGAAAGCUAGGGGAGCGAACGGG
rnacentral:rRNA from 1 species